rnacentral:rRNA from 1 species
AUGGAGCGCAGGAGGCGCGGCGGCGGCGGCGCUGGGGCUGGUGGCGACAUGGUGAAGUAUGGCUUAUUGCUGGUGGUGCUCGCGCUGGGUGGCCGCGGGGUCACCGGGCUGGACGCGGACGGGGAGCUGCUCAUGGCCUUCCGGCGCGCGGUCACCGCGGACCCGCUCGGCGCGCUCCGCAGCUGGAGCUACUCCGACGACUCCGCCUGCGCCUGGAACGGCGUCAUCUGCAACGGCUUCCCGCAGCAGCAGGCAUCCACGGUCAACCUCACCUCCGCCUCCUCCUCCGGAAACGGGAACUUCAGCACGCUCGCCGGCGGCAGGGCGAACGGCACGCUGCUGGGCCUCAACGCGUCCAUGGCGGCGGCCACGGUGUCGCGGGUCAUCGGCCUCGUCCUCCCCGGCGCGCAGCUCUCCGGCUCGCUCCCCGCCGAGCUGGCCCGCGUCGAGCACCUGCGCCACCUCGACCUCUCCGGGAACGGCCUCAACGGGACCCUCCCCGCCGCGCUGCUGCUCAACGCCACCGAGCUCCGCGUGCUCUCGCUCGCCGGCAACGACCUCUCCGGCGCGCUCCCGGACGCGUCCUACGCGCGGGCGCUCCAGGAGCUCAACCUCUCCGACAACGCGCUCGCCGGCUGGCUCCCUGCUUCGCUCCUCAGGGCGCCUGGCCUCGCCGUGCUGGGCCUCGCCAACAACUACCUCGCCGGCGAGCUCCCCGCUGGCGGGGUCGGCGGGCUGCAGGUCGUGGACCUGAGCAGCAACUACUUCAGGGGCCAACUCCCGGCGGACUUCGGCGGGACGCAGCUCAGGUUCCUCAACGUGUCGUCCAACAGCCUCACCGGCGCGCUCCCGGCCGAGCUGUCCGACGUCGUGCCAGUCAACACCACGGUGGAUCUGUCCAACAAUAACUUCACCGGCGCGGUCCCGCCGGCCGAGCCCUUCGCCGCGCAGCCGGCGUCGGCGUACGAGGGCAACCCGGGGCUGUGCGGCCCGCCGCUGAAGCACGCGUGCUCCAUCCCGUCGUCGCUCUCCAACCCGCCCAACGCCACCGACUCGCCGCCGGCCUUCGCGGCCAUCCCCAAGAGCGCCGCCCGGGCGCCGCCGGGCUCCCCCGAGGCCCAGGCCCCGCGCGGCGGGCAGGGGAAGCUCAAACCGCUGGUGAUCCUCGCCAUCGUGGCCGGUGACCUCGCCGGCGUGGGGCUCCUCUUCAUGCUCUUCAUGUACGUCUACCACAUCAGGAAGAAGCGGCGGCAGCGGCGGGAGGAGAACCCGACGGCGCAGCAGCACAAGAGCAUCGGCGGCGGAGCCAAGGCAUUGAGCGUCGCCGGAGCCAAAGAAGACAAGGCAGCCAGCUCAAUGGCAUGCUGCAUUGGCGGCGGCAAGAACGACGGCUCGGACAGCUCCGACUGCUCGGCAUCGUCAUCCGACGAGGCCUCCGACGACGGCGGCGGCGAGGACCCCAAGAAGAGAGCGGGGAGCUACAUCGGCUGGGGCACCCCGCAGCACCACAGCAAGAACAAGCACGAGCGGCAGCAGCAGCAGCCCCCCGCACCGGCGACGCUGGUGACGGUGGACGGCGGCGACGGCGAGCUGGAGAUGGAGACGCUGCUCAAGGCGUCGGCCUACAUCCUGGGCGCCACCGGGUCGAGCAUCGUGUACAAGGCCGUGCUCGCGGACGGCACGGCGCUGGCCGUCCGGCGCAUCGGCGAGAGCGGCGGCGCCGACAAGCUCAAGGACUUCGAGGCGCAGGUGCGCGCCGUCGCCCGGUUCCGGCACCCCAGCAUCCUCCGGCUCCGGGGCUUCUACUGGGGCGCCGACGAGAAGCUCCUCAUCCACGACUACGCCGCCAACGGCAGCCUCGCCAACAUCGCCUUCACCCGGCGGUUCGGCGCGUCGUCGCCGAUGCACCUGAACCUGGAGGCGCGGCUGCGGAUCGCGCGCGGGGUGGCGCGGGGGCUGGCAUUCAUCCACGACAAGAAGGGCGUGCACGGCAACGUGAAGCCGAGCAACAUCCUGCUCGGCGCCGACAUGGAGCCGCUGGUGGGCGACCUGGGGCUGGACCGGCUGGUGUCCGGCGAGAGCGCGGCCGGCCGGGGCGGCGGCGGCGCGUCUGCGCGGCUGUUCGGGAGCAAGCGCUCCAUGCACUCCACCAGCAGCCUGCCGGACCUGUCCCAGAUGCCGGGCGGCGCGGGGGCCGGGCCCGGGGCCAGCCCGUCGGCAUCGGCCCCGCCGCCGUACCAGGCGCCCGAGUGCCUCAAGAGCCUGCGGCCCAACGCCAAGUGGGACGUCUACUCCUUCGGCAUGGUGCUCCUGGAGCUGCUCUCGGGGCGCGUCUACUCAGAGGUGGAGCUCUGCCAGUGGCACGCGGGCGCCGCCGGCGCCGUCGACGACCAGCGCGGCCGCGUGCUGCGGAUGGCCGACCCCACGCUCCGCGGCGAGGCCGCCGACGCCGGCAGCGAGGACGCGCUGCUCGGCUGCUUCCGGCUCGCCUUCGCCUGCUGCGCCAUGGCGCCCGGCAAGCGGCCCGCCAUGCGGGACGCCGCCGCGCUCCUCGACAGGAUCCCGGUGCCCUCCUCCGCAUCCACCUCCGCCGUUGAAACUCCUCCUUACUGA